UACAGAGGGUGCAAGCGUUAAUCGGAAUUACUGGGCGUAAAGGGUGCGUAGGUGGUUUAAUAAGUUAGGUGUGAAAGCCCCGGGCUUAACCUGGGAAUUGCGCCUAAUACUGUUUGACUGGAGUACUGUAGAGGAAAGUGGAAUUUCCGGUGUAGCGGUGAAAUGCGUAGAUAUCGGAAGGAACACCAGUGGCGAAGGCGACUUUCUGGACAGAUACUGACACUGAGGCACGAAAGCGUGGGGAGCAAACAGG
rnacentral:rRNA from 1 species